rnacentral:tRNA from 1 species
GCCUUCGUGGUGUAAUGGUCAGCACAUUGAGCCGGUAUUCAGAGGUCCGUGGUUCGAUUCCGUGGUAUUCAGAAGUCCGUGGUUCGAUUCCCGGCGAAGGCG